rnacentral:rRNA from 1 species
AAGCGUGGUUACCAAACAGGAUUAGUACCCUGGUAGUCCACGCCGUAAACGAUGUGACCACCCGUUGGGUGCCUAGCGCACUUUGUGGCGAAGUUAACGCGAUAAGUCGACCGCCUGGGGAGUACGGCCCGCAAGGUUAAAACUCAAAUGAAUUGACGGGGGCCCGCACAAGCGGUGGAGCAUGUGGUUUAAUUCGAUGCAACGCGAAGAACCUUACCUACUCUUGACAUCCUGCGAAUUUGGUAGAGAUACCUUAGUGCCUUCGGGAACGCAGAGACAGGUGCUGCAUGGCUGUCGUCAGCUCGUGUUGUGAAAUGUUGGGUUAAGUCCCGUAACGAGCGCAACCCUUGUCCUUAUUUGCCAGCGCGUAAUGGCGGGAACUCUAAGGAGACUGCCGGUGACAAACCGGAGGAAGGUGGGGACGACGUCAAGUCAUCAUGGCCCUUACGAGUAGGGCUACACACGUGCUACAAUGGUCGGUACAAAGGGUUGCCAACUCGCGAGAGUGAGCCAAUCCCGAAAAGCCGAUCUCAGUCCGGAUCGGAGUCUGCAACUCGACUCCGUGAAGUCGGAAUCGCUAGUAAUCGUGGAUCAGAAUGCCACGGUGAAUACGUUCCCGGGCCUUGUACACACCGCCCGUCACACCAUGGGAGUGGACUGCACCAGAAGUGGUUAGCCUAACGCAAGAGGGCGAUCACCACGGUGUGGUUCAUGACUGGGGUGAAGUCGUAACAAGGUAGCCGUA